UUUUCCCAGUCCACCACGCUUCGGGAUUACCUGCUGUGGCAUGGCACUGUAUGCUCCCAGCUUAAAUGGCCCGAAGCAGAUCGAUCCCCCGGUAUAAUCCGGCUGCGCUCUCUGUGCGCACGCCGGUUCGCUCUGGGUGCACAGCU
rnacentral:snoRNA from 1 species